rnacentral:ribozyme from 11 species
AAAGAAAGGACAAAAAACGACAGAAAGAGGGAAAACAUAAAAGAGAGAAAGAACGUCUCCGUGAAGUCGUCUGCAUGUAUUGAAACACAUGUUUCCAAUUCUUUCAAAUUGUUUUU